CUUCGGCGCUCGUAGAUGGCUGUGCGUGCCAUUAGCUAGUUGGCGGUGUGACGGACCACAAAGCGACGAUGGCUAGGGGGCGUGAGAGCGUGGCCCCCCACACGGGUACUGAGACACGGACCCGACUCCUACGGGAGGCAGCAGUAAGGAAUAUUGGACAAUGGGGGCAACCCUGAUCCAGCCAUCCCGCGUGCAGGAUGACGGCCCUACGGGUUGUAAACUGCUUUUGCGAGGGAAGAAACGAGCCCACUUGUGGGUUUUUGACGGUACCUCGAGAAUAAGCACCGGCUAACUCCGUGCCAGCAGCCGCGGUAAUACGGAGGGUGCAAGCGUUAUCCGGAAUCACUGGGUUUAAAGGGUGCGUAGGCGGCAUGGUAAGUCAGGGGUGAAAGGCCGUCGCUUAACGAUGGAACUGCCUUUGAUACUGUCAUGCUUGAAUCAAGUUAAGGCCGGCGGAAUGUGGCAUGUAGCGGUGAAAUGCAUAGAUAUGCCAUAGAACACCGAUUGCGAAGGCAGCUGGCUAGGCUUAGAUUGACGCUGAGGCACGAAAGCGUUGGGGAGCGAACAGGAUUAGAUACCCUGGUAGUCCACGCCCUAAACGAUGUUUACUCGGCCUGGCCCUUGAGGCCAGGGCCCAAGCGAAAGCGUUAAGUAAACCACCCUGGGGAGUACGUCGGCAACGAUGAAACUCAAAGGAAUUGACGGGGGUCCGCACAAACGGUUGGAGCCUAUUGUGGUUUAAUUCGAUGAUACGCGAGGAACCUUACCUAAGGCUAGAAUGCGAGCGCCACCCUGCGAAAGCAGGGGUUCCUUCGGGACGCGAAGCAAGGUGCUGCAUGGCUGUCGUCAGGCUCGUGCUGUGAGGUUUGGUUAAGUCCCGCAACGAGCGCACCCCUAUUUCCAGUUGCCAGCAAUAAGAUGGGGACUCUGGAAAGACUGCCGGCGCAAGCC
rnacentral:rRNA from 1 species